UCUGGCUAUCUUUUUUUCUAGGAAUACACACAGAUGGUCAAAUAAAUUAAGAAAGGAAGAACCAUAAAAUUUACAUUGUCUAUUGAUGCUAAGAAUUUGGAAUCAUAAUGGAUUAAUGACAUUGCCUUUACUUUGUUCCUACCACAAUUGUCCACAUGACAAUUUACAACAAUCUGUGACUCAACUCCCAAGGAAUCUGAGGAAUACUUCUGACAUCCUCAGCCUCUGCAGCUACUAGAUAUUGUCCACUAAUAUGCACACUACCUGAACAAGAAUUGAACCUUAAGAUUGCAGCUUGUGCCUCCAGAUUCCUGCCCUGCUUGAAUUCCUGCCCUAACUUCCUUUGAUGAUGAGCUAAUGUGGAAGGUUCAUCUUUGAGAAAUUCAAGACAGUGCCUUGGAAGCAGGAUCUAAUAUA